rnacentral:rRNA from 1 species
UACAGAGGUCCCAAGCGUUGUUCGGAUUCACUGGGCGUAAAGGGUGCGCAGGUGGUUUGGCAAGUUCGAUGUGAAAGCCCCGGGCCUAACCCGGGAAUGGCAUUGAAAACUGCUGGACUGGAGGGUCGGAGGGGGGACUGGAAUUCUUGGUGUAGCAGUGAAAUGCGUAGAUAUCAAGAGGAACACCAGUGGCGAAGGCGAGUCCCUGGACGAUACCUGACACUGAGGCACGAAAGCCAAGGGAGCAAAC